GAUGAACGCUGGCGGCGUGCUUAAUACAUGCAAGUCGAACGGUCAAGGCGGGACUUUCCUUCCUGGACCAGUGGCGAACGGGUGAGUAUCACGUGUGCAUUCCCCCCCUGUCUCACUGAUAUGCGCUGGAAACGCCGUCUCAUACUCGAUACGAUCUGUUGAAGCAUCUUCAUCAACUGUAAAGAAUGUCCGUCAGGGCUCGUCUCGCUGCCUAUCAGCUUGUUUGUGGGGUAAUGGCUGACCAAGCGUUCGACGGCUACCCGGCCUGGGAGGGUGACCGGCCACAAUGGGACUGAGACACGGCGCAGACUGCUACGGGAGGCAGAAGUGGGGAAUAUUGCACAAUGGGGGAAAGUCUGAUGCAGCAAUGCCGCGAGAGGGACGACGGGCUACGGGGUAUAAACCUAUUUUUGAGGGGAAGAAGCGAAAGUGACGGUACCUGCAGAAAAAGCGCCGGCUAACUACGUG
rnacentral:rRNA from 1 species